UCAGGCCUCAGGACAAUAUCG
rnacentral:misc_RNA from 1 species